UAAGACGAAGGUGGCGAGCGUUGUUCGGUGUUACUGGGCUUAAAGCGUGUGUAGGCGGGUUGGUUAGCGUCUUGUGAAAUCCCUCGGCUUAACCGAGGAAUGGCUGGGCGAACCGCCAACCUUGAGGCAGGCAGGGGCGCAUGGAACUCUUGGUGGAGCGGUGGAAUGCGUAGAUAUCAAGAGGAACGCCGAUGGAGAAAUCAGUGCGCUGGGCCUGUCCUGACGCUGAUACACGAAAGCGUGGGGAGCGAACGGGAUUAGAUACCCCGGUAGUCCACGCUGUAAACGAUGUCUACUAGGUCGUGGAGGUUCUGACACCUGCACGGCCGAAGCAAAAGUGUUAAGUAGACCGCCUGGGGAGUACGGUCGCAAGGCUA
rnacentral:rRNA from 1 species